rnacentral:rRNA from 1 species
CCCUACGGGGCGCAGCAGUGAGGAAUAUUGGUCAAUGGGCGCAAGCCUGAACCAGCCAUGCCGCGUGAAGGAUGAAGGCCCUACGGGUUGUAAACUUCUUUUGUACGGGAAGAAAAUGAGUUACGUGUAAUUCACUGACUGUACCGUAUGAAUAAGGAUCGGCUAACUCCGUGCCAGCAGCCGCGGUAAUACGGAGGAUCCAAGCGUUAUCCGGAUUUAUUAGGUUUAAAGGGUGCGUAGGCGGACUUAUAAGUCAGCGGUGAAAUUCUUCGGCUUAACCGGAGCACUGCCAUUGAUACUGUAGGUCUUGAGUUCGGUUGAGGUAGGCGGAAUGUGUAGUGUAGCGGUGAAAUGCUUAGAUAUUACACAGAACACCGAUUGCGUAGGCAGCUUACUAAACCGAUACUGACGCUGAGGCACGAAAGCGUGGGGAUCGAACAGGAUUAGAUACCCGUGUAGUCCG